GGAAUGUGAAUGGGAUUGAAGGAUUUAUAUGGAGGAUUCUGUUCCUUCCUGCUCCAGGAAAGACAGGUAAUGUCUUUAUUCUCCCACGAGAUGGAGGCGGACCACUCUACCAGCUGUCAAGGCAAAUAUUGUUGUAUAGCCCUUGUGGUCAGCAGCAUCCUCAAUGUCUGGUGAUGGGGUGCCUUGGAAGGAUGGCACAGAACAAGCUUCAUACUACCUCAUACAAGCUCCAUACUCUCAGGCUCUCUGUGCUGCACAAGGCUAUACCGUUCAGAAGAAGCGAGAUUGUCUUUCCCUACAGCUACGACACUGCACUGAUCUCGACACAGCCUGCUUUUCCCUCCAUUUACCUGGGCGGCUGCUGCUGUUUUUGCUGCUGCUGAGGCUGCCACAGUCUCGCUGCCUGCGCUUCACCCUGGCUUGGCUGGCUCAAAACUCACUCGUCUGCACAUUGCUACGAAGAGCGAUGGAGCUGCAUUUUUUCUGUUGGUUCUGGAAGCAAAGAGUUGCAAUAUGUGAUGACUUUGGGAUUUUCUUUGGGGGGGAUGUGGAGGGAGGAGAAAGCAGGGGUGUUAUUCUAGGUUGGGGUGGGUGA
rnacentral:lncRNA from 14 species